UUAUUUCAUCUUUUUAAGCAUUUAUACUAUCUUUUUUUACUAAUUUUUAUAUUUAUUCUUUUUGGUUUUCCUUUCAUAAGUGUGAUUACUUCAUAUGCAUUUAAUUCUGUGCUAAGUAUUUGAUCAUAUUUCAUCUGUUUCAGAGCAAUAGUUCUUUCUUAUGAGUGAAUGCAUUUUGUUGUUAUUUUUGAGAUUGUUUUUCUUAUAAUAUCUUGAGCUCAACUUGGCUUAAGAGGGUACUUCCCCAUGUUCCCAUCUCUUAUUCGAAAUGAGAAGUGUAGUUUUGAACUUUGAGAGAGCCUCUUAUUUUCAAGAAGGGCAUUUUUGUUGGGAUCUUAGAGAAUUUUCUGCUCCUGGGCUCUUCAAUGUAUCGCAUGUCUUCGUCUUGAUCUCAGCUACUUAUACAAGCCCUUGUUUAUAUUUUUGAAUUGAAUAUUAUAACCCAGUGUCCCUGAAAAUGGAGUUUUUAUGUUGUGUCUUUUAUAGUUAAUUCAUUAAAAUUAUAAGAAGAAAUAGAGGCAAAAUUGUGACAUAUACAGCUGUAUUCAUAUCAAUAUAUUUUCCUUUUUAUUGUUAGUUCAUGUAUUAAUCAAUUGCUCUCAGAAGCUAUAAUUUAUUAGGAUCUCUCUUGAUUAUUUCACUUGGCUCAUUUUCUCUGGCUUCAGGAUUUCUUAUAUGUGCUAGCAGUUCUUUUUAUUUACUCACUGGGACUCAGGUUGAAGUCUGUAGUACAUUAAUUUGGAGCCAUGUCAUGAAUGGUAGGAAGUUCUGUAGUCUUGUAGCAAAAGCAUGGUGUCAGUUCUCUACUAAAAAUAUAGUAAAGAAAAAAAAUACAGCCUUUUUUUUUUUUCUCUUCUCUUUGAGAUGUUCCAGACCCUGGUCUAGACAGGACUCAUUACUGGUUCAUCUCUCCCUCAGCUGUUCAGGAGCUAGAGGAAUCAGGCCCACUCCUAUGGACUUACAUGACCCCUUUUUUCUGGAAUCCAUACUGUUCUGCAGGUCACGUACUUGUCAGGAUCCACAACUACUGUCCUCCCCUGGAUCCUCUCAAGAUCUCAUCAGCCUCAGAGUAGUGAAACUCCUGUGCUGGUUCUGGAUUUUAGAAUCCUUUCAGUGUCUGCGGCUUCACCAGCACCUUCCAGUGUCGUCUGGGUUUUUGCUGGGGGUAAAGGAGCUCCCUUGA
rnacentral:lncRNA from 1 species